CAAACAACAACAACAACAAAACUAUUCCGUUUUUAUCCAGUAGAAACUAAGCCGUGUAAGAUGUC
rnacentral:lncRNA from 1 species